rnacentral:rRNA from 1 species
GACGAACGCUGGCGGCGUGCUUAACACAUGCAAGUCGAACGGAAAGGCCCUGCUUUUGUGGGGUGCUCGAGUGGCGAACGGGUGAGUAACACGUGAGUAACCUGCCCUUGACUUUGGGAUAACUUCAGGAAACUGGGGCUAAUACCGGAUAGGAGCUCCUGCUGCAUGGUGGGGGUUGGAAAGUUUCGGCGGUUGGGGAUGGACUCGCGGCUUAUCAGCUUGUUGGUGGGGUAGUGGCUUACCAAGGCUUUGACGGGUAGCCGGCCUGAGAGGGUGACCGGCCACAUUGGGACUGAGAUACGGCCCAGACUCCUACGGGAGGCAGCAGUGGGGAAUAUUGCACAAUGGGCGGAAGCCUGAUGCAGCAACGCCGCGUGCGGGAUGACGGCCUUCGGGUUGUAAACCGCUUUCGCCUGUGACGAAGCGUGAGUGACGGUAAUGGGUAAAGAAGCACCGGCUAACUACGUGCCAGCAGCCGCGGUGAUACGUAGGGUGCGAGCGUUGUCCGGAUUUAUUGGGCGUAAAGGGCUCGUAGGUGGUUGAUCGCGUCGGAAGUGUAAUCUUGGGGCUUAACCCUGAGCGUGCUUUCGAUACGGGUUGACUUGAGGAAGGUAGGGGAGAAUGGAAUUCCUGGUGGAGCGGUGGAAUGCGCAGAUAUCAGGAGGAACACCAGUGGCGAAGGCGGUUCUCUGGGCCUUUCCUGACGCUGAGGAGCGAAAGCGUGGGGAGCGAACAGGCUUAGAUACCCUGGUAGUCCACGCUGUAAACGGUGGGUACUAGGUGUGGGGUCCAUUCCACGGGUUCCGUGCCGUAGCUAACGCUUUAAGUACCCCGCCUGGGGAGUACGGCCGCAAGGCUAAAACUCAAAGGAAUUGACGGGGCCCCGCACAAGCGGCGGAGCAUGCGGAUUAAUUCGAUGCAACGCGUAGAACCUUACCUGGGUUUGACAUGGGUCGGGAGUGCUCAGAGAUGGGUGUGCCUCUUUUGGGGUCGGUUCACAGGUGGUGCAUGGCUGUCGUCAGCUCGUGUCGUGAGAUGUUGGGUUAAGUCCCGCAACGAGCGCAACCCUUGUUCACUGUUGCCAGCACGUUAUGGUGGGGACUCAGUGGAGACCGCCGGGGUCAACUCGGAGGAAGGUGGGGAUGACGUCAAGUCAUCAUGCCCCUUAUGUCCAGGGCUUCACGCAUGCUACAAUGGCUGGUACAGAGAGUGGCGAGCCUGUGAGGGUGAGCGAAUCUCGGAAAGCCGGUCUCAGUUCGGAUUGGGGUCUGCAACUCGACCUCAUGAAGUCGGAGUCGCUAGUAAUCGCAGAUCAGCAACGCUGCGGUGAAUACGUUCCCGGG